AAUCUAUGUAUUUUAUAGAAAAUAUUUGAUUGCAAGUCUAAAGAAGAAAAAAUCCGUAGAUU
rnacentral:tRNA from 1 species